UAGUAGUUAUAAAAUCUACAAUGCAUUAUGUUGGAGGACUGUUUGAAGAGUACAGUGAAACAGAUAUUCUACAGAUGAUUGGUAGAGCUGGUCGACCUCAAUUUGACACUACAGCUACUGCAGUUAUCAUGACUCGAUUAAGCACAAGAGACAAGUACAUUCAGAUGUUAGUUUGUAGAGACACUGUACAAAGCAGGUUUUGCAUCUGGAUUGAACAAAGAUGGAAUUGAAGCAAAAUUACAAGAAUUAUGUUUGAAGAAUCUGAAUGAUUUAUCAUCCCUGGACUUAAUAAAGAUGGAUGAAGGUGUUAAUUUCAAACCAACUGGUAAUUCUCUAUCAUUGUCAGUAAAUUUAGCAAUUGUUUACUUAAGACUAAAUUAAAAUUUUGUUUUACUAAAGUUUAGAUGAUGAUAAGUAAAUUGUGAUCUCAGUUCUCAACAGGGUAUCAUCAUUAUUAGCCGUAGGCAUGAUAAAUUUAAACAAGUCCUAUUUGUAGAAGGACAGUUUCUUUUUGACAGGUGCACAGAAUUUGUCUUCAUUGAUUCUGGUGACUUCUGGCAGAGGAACGAAAUGCUUGAAUCUUUGGGUUGCUUUAGGCCUCUUAUAAC
rnacentral:lncRNA from 10 species